GGAGUUUUAACAAUCUUUUUGAUUGUAGGAGCCAUCUUCAGCCUUUUUCUUGCCAUUGUUCUUCAUUGGAGGGGAGAUUAGAGCCGUUUGAAGGGAGUUGUGAAGUCUUUCUCGAUUUCAAGGCUUCUUAGGACUUUAUCUUUAUUUUUCUUGUUGUUCAAUCUUUUUAAUUUUUUGCUCGUGUCGAUUUCAUUAUCUAACUUGUUUAAACUCUCUUGUUG
rnacentral:lncRNA from 1 species